rnacentral:rRNA from 1 species
GUAAGGAAUAUUGGUCAAUGGACGGAAGUCUGAACCAGCCAUGCCGCGUGCAGGAAGACGGCCCUACGGGUUGUAAACUGCUUUUGCAGGGGAAUAAACCUCAUUACGUGUAAUGAGUUGAAUGUACUCUGAGAAUAAGGAUCGGCUAACUCCGUGCCAGCAGCCGCGGUAAUACGGAGGAUCCAAGCGUUAUCCGGAUUUAUUGGGUUUAAAGGGUGCGUAGGCGGCUUUUUAAGUCAGGGGUGAAAGACGGUAGCUUAACUAUCGCAGUGCCCUUGAUACUGAAGAGCUUGAAUGUAGUUGAGGUAGGCGGAAUGUGACAAGUAGCGGUGAAAUGCAUAGAUAUGUCACAGAACACCAAUUGCGAAGGCAGCUUACUAAGCUAUGAUUGACGCUGAGGCACGAAAGCGUGGGGAUCAAACAGG